rnacentral:tRNA from 1 species
GCAGUGGUGGUUCAGAGGUAUAAUUCUUACCUUCCAUGUGGGAGACCUGGGUUCGCUUCCCAGCUCAUGCA